GGCUCCGUAGUUCAACGGAUAGAACAGUGGUCUUCUAAACCUCAAGUGUGAGUUCGAUUCUCGCCGGAGCUA
rnacentral:tRNA from 1 species